rnacentral:rRNA from 1 species
GACGAACGCUGGCGGCGUGCUUAACACAUGCAAGUCGAACGGAAAGGCCCUGCUUUUGUGGGGUGCUCGAGUGGCGAACGGGUGAGUAACACGUGAGUAACCUGCCCUUGACUUUGGGAUAACUUCAGGAAACUGGGGCUAAUACCGGAUAGGAGCUCCUGCUGCAUGGUGGGGGUUGGAAAGUUUCGGCGGUUGGGGAUGGACUCGCGGCUUAUCAGCUUGUUGGUGGGGUAGUGGCUUACCAAGGCUUUGACGGGUAGCCGGCCUGAGAGGGUGACCGGGCAACGUGGGAAUGGAGAAAGGGCCAGGCCCCUACGGGCAGCAACGAUGGGGGAAAUUGGAAGAGGGGCUGGAGGCCGAAGACGGCACCCCCGGGUGGGGAAGGGCGCCUUUGGGGUGUAAACCGCCUUCCGCCGGGAAGGAGGGGGGGGGCGGGGAAGGGGUAAAAGAAGCACCGGAUAACUAGGC